rnacentral:rRNA from 1 species
UACAGAGGGUGCAAGCGUUGCUCGGAUUUACUGGGCGUAAAGCGUACGCAGACGGUUUGGUAGGUCGGGUGUGAAAGCCCAGGGCUCAACCCUGGAAAUGCACUCGAAACCACCUCACUUGAGUAUAGGAGAGGGAAGCGGAAUUCCUGGUGUAGAGGUGAAAUUCGUAGAUAUCAGGAGGAACACCGGUGGCGAAGGCGGCGCGCUGGACCUUAACUGACGCUGAGGCGCGAAAGCCAGGGGAGCGAACGGG